rnacentral:lncRNA from 1 species
UGCAAGCACCUGGUGGAGAUGGAGAUACUUCAGGUAUCUCCCUUCUUAUUAAUUCUCUUGGCACGUGGAAGAGGAACCCCUGUGACAACUUCAUAUCCUGCACUGUCUUUGGCUUUGUAGUUUGGUUUCUCUUCAGAACAGGCCAGCCUCCUUUAGUUUAUGUUGUAUUUUAAUUUUCCAAGUCUUUUUGGUGUUUCAUUCUGUCUUUCUCAGUGUCUGUAGAGUGUUAUGGGUAUUAGAAAAGAUUGCCUGAUUUGCAAAGUUUGCAUGUUUUGUGCCUUUGGGCUCAGGAACUGCAAGAUGCAAUUGAGAUGACUCUGAAGAGCACAAGGGUAAGACCCCCAUGAGGGCUUCCACUUGCUGCUGUCCUUGGCCUAUGUUACUGGCAGGCAGAGCUUUGUGGUAAGUGCAGUGAAUUUUCAUCACCAGGGAACAUUUUCAACAGGUGAAAGACAGUUUUAUGGCAACUCCAGAGGAGGGACUGCAAAGAGCAGAACGCAGAGGUAAGGAUGGUGGCUUCAAGUACUGUCUUUUCAGCUGCUUUGCAGGAACUGUGUCUAAACAAGCAGGAACAGGAAUGGCUGUCAGUGGAGUGCUUGACGGUAUCUUCAAAGCAGAAGAACAGAGUAAACAUUUGCUGAUCAGCUCCGUCUGGUGGUUUUCACUUAGAACAAUAAACCAGAACUCCCAAGCCCUAUCCUGACUCUGUGGCCAUCAUACUGGGUGGUCUUGGCACACCUUACAG